rnacentral:rRNA from 1 species
UACGAAGGGUGCAAACGUUGCUCGGAAUUAUUGGGCGUAAAGCGCACGUAGGCGGCUUAGCAAGUCCCAUGUGAAAGCCCUCGGCUCAACCGAGGAAGUGCAUUCGAAACUGCAUGGCUUGAGUGUCGGAGAGGAUAGCGGAAUUCCCGGUGUAGAGGUGAAAUUCGUAGAUAUCGGGAGGAACACCAGUGGCGAAGGCGGCUAUCUGGACGAACACUGACGCUGAAGUUCGAAAGCGUGGGGAGCAAACAGG